AGAGAAAACAUUGUCUGUGCCUCGAUACACCAGCCCAUCAUCAUCAUGAUCAUCAACACCAUUAUCAUCAUCAUUGUGCUCUGUAGCAGCCACAGACCUGGCAGUUCUCAAUGGCCAUUUACAGAAUGCCCACAUGUGCUGGGCUCUGUGAGAGACUAUACAGACACUGGACAAUCAAGUGAAGAGUGAUUCUGCUUGCAAAUGGACAGUGAAGAGAGUGCUUCCCAUCCCUUCGUAUUUGCCUUUGAUGACUAAGAAUGAGGCACAUUGUUGCCUGUGGAGUUAGGAAAACAACUUUCCAAUGACCCACUUUCCCAUAUCUCUUAGCUAUUGCAGCUCAUACAAUCUCAGGGCUGGAAAAGAUCCUAGAAAUGAUCAGACUCACUUUGCAAAAGGACAUGAAAGUCCAGAGAAGCUGUGACUCACCUGAAGUCAGGGAACACACACACACACACACACACACACAUACGCACGCACACACCACACAAAAUCAACUAAAUGAGCUCUAGGAAAAUCCUAAUUUAUAUUGUCCUUAUUUCCCUAAGUUCACUGUAGAAAAACAAGCCCUGGUUCAAGAAAUGGCCAAUAGUUGCAUGCCUCUGAGCAGCA
rnacentral:lncRNA from 1 species